rnacentral:rRNA from 1 species
UACGUAGGGCGCAAGCGUUGUCCGGAAUUAUUGGGCGUAAAGAGCUCGUAGGCGGCUUGUCACGUCGGUUGUGAAAGCCCGGGGCUUAACCCCGGGUCUGCAGUCGAUACGGGCUAGCUAGAGUGUGGUAGGGGAGAUCGGAAUUCCUGGUGUAGCGGUGAAAUGCGCAGAUAUCAGGAGGAACACCGGUGGCGAAGGCGGAUCUCUGGGCCAUUACUGACGCUGAGGCACGAAGGCCAGGGGAGCAAACGGG